UCCCGAGUGCUUGCACUCAAUUGGAAAGAGGAGUGGCGGACGGGUGAGUAACACGUGGGUAACCUACCCAUCAGAGGGGGAUAACACUUGGAAACAGGUGCUAAUACCGCAUAACAGUUUAUGCCGCAUGGCAUAAGAGUGAAAGGCGCUUUCGGGUGUCGCUGAUGGAUGGACCCGCGGUGCAUUAGCUAGUUGGUGAGGUAACGGCUCACCAAGGCCACGAUGCAUAGCCGACCUGAGAGGGUGAUCGGCCACACUGGGACUGAGACACGGCCCAGACUCCUACGGGAGGCAGCAGUAGGGAAUCUUCGGCAAUGGACGAAAGUCUGACCGAGCAACGCCGCGUGAGUGAAGAAGGUUUUCGGAUCGUAAAACUCUGUUGUUAGAGAAGAACAAGGACGUUAGUAACUGAACGUCCCCUGACGGUAUCUAACCAGAAAGCCACGGCUAACUACGUGCCAGCAGCCGCGGUAAUACGUAGGUGGCAAGCGUUGUCCGGAUUUAUUGGGCGUAAAGCGAGCGCAGGCGGUUUCUUAAGUCUGAUGUGAAAGCCCCCGGCUCAACCGGGGAGGGUCAUUGGAAACUGGGAGACUUGAGUGCAGAAGAGGAGAGUGGAAUUCCAUGUGUAGCGGUGAAAUGC
rnacentral:rRNA from 1 species